UGCCUGGCAGUCCAGCAGUUGGGACUCUGCAUUUCCACUGCAGGGGCUACAGGUUUGAUUCCUGGUCAGAUAA
rnacentral:tRNA from 1 species